rnacentral:rRNA from 1 species
UACGUAGGGGGCAAGCGUUGUCCGGAUUUAUUGGGCGUAAAGAGCGUGUAGGCGGCUUUGCAAGUCCGUUGUGAAAACUCGAGGCUCAACCUCGAGAGGUCGGUGGAAACCGUCUGGCUAGAGUCCGGAAGAGGAGAGUGGAAUUCCCGGUGUAGCGGUGAAAUGCGCAGAUAUCGGGAAGAACACCCGUGGCGAAGGCGGCUCUCUGGGACGGUACUGACGCUGAGACGCGAAAGCGUGGGGAGCGAACAGG